CAGCAGCCGCGGGAAUACGUAGGUCCCGAGCGUUGUCCGGAUUUAUUGGGCGUAAAGCGAGCGCAGGCGGUUAGAUAAGUCUGAAGUUAAAGGCUGUGGCUUAACCAUAGUACGCUUUGGAAACUGUUUAACUUGAGUGCAAGAGGGGAGGGUGGAAUUCCAUGUGUAGCGGUGAAAUGCGUAGAUAUAUGGAGGAACACCGGUGGCGAAAGCGGCUCUCUGGCUUGUAACUGACGCUGAGGCUCGAAAGCGUGGGGAGCAAACAGGAUUAGAUACCCCCGUAGUCCCUGUCUCUUAUACA
rnacentral:rRNA from 1 species